rnacentral:lncRNA from 1 species
GGAAUAUGUAUUUUUAAUUCAGUACGACGAAGAAUGAUCUAGACUAAAACAAGAUGAAGUUUAUACUUCAUGCCUUGUGUGGACUAUCAUACCUAUUGGGAGGAUGUUUUUGCUCGUUGGACGAUUCCUUUAUACUAUUUACAGACACCCAAAACAGGGUGUAUGGGGUGUCUUUAAAAACAGGAACACCAUACUCCGUGGCUGUGAAACGAAUAAUAAACCCAAUAGCUAUUCAUUUUAACGAACUAAAUGAACUGAUCUAUUAGAGUGACGUAAGUUUAAAAGAAAUCAGGAGUACUUCCCUUAGCGGAACAUGAUGACGUCACAUUGCGCGCUUUAGACAACAGGAAGUAUGGACAUCAACAACUACCCUAAACAUUUUUAAGGUAUUAGCGCUGUAUAGAGAUAUAUGAAUGCAUGAGCAACAAUAUAGCGUGAUAUAGGAGCGCAAUAUCAUACCGCGAAGAAUGCAUGUAAUUUUGUAACUUUUUCUUGCAUACGCGUCUACAUUUUUUCUUUAUGUUGAAUAGAUUUGAAAAAAUCGACGUUAAUAUCUUAAUGCGCUGACACAAAAGAAAACGCUAACGUCACAAAUGACGCCACGCACCUGACAUGAAAUUUGACCUUACUAAUCAAACUGAUUAUCUAUAACUAAGCAUUUUAUAUUUAGUAUUUUCUAUAUUUUUGUAUUCCCCACGAGCUGGAUCUUAAUAUGCCUUUGGGUUAGAUUAAACUGUAUACGCGUUUAGAAAUACCUCCUGUCCAAAACUAGAAUCAACAUAACAUAUUCAAUACUACAAAUUUCUAAUGUAAAGUUACCCUGUUUUAUCAUAAGAGCGACACAUGAAAUAUUCCAAAUGUACAUCCCUAGAGGGGGCAACUGGUGAUGGUCGUUGACUUUUAAUGAAUUACCUUUCAUUGUUGCGGGUCCGAAACCUCACUUUUGCGUAGAAUUCGAUCAUAUGAGAAAGAAGUUUUAUUCAGCUGACUAACUGAUUUACAGAAGGUCGCUAUUUCUAUUCUGGCACCAUUCUUUCCCUUACAAAGUGCUGGUAGGGACACAUGAGGUUUUCCUCUACCAACCAAAACCGGGAAAUACUGGUAAAUUCACCAUGUAACCUAAAAUUGAGUUGGUGUGACUUUAAACCUAACAGAUAAAGGAUAUACAUGUCUGGGAUUUGCUUUUGUAGCCACUUUAUAAACAGGUACAAGUAUCUGUAUCUGUCUUUUAUAAAGAUUUCUACUACAUGCACAUAUAUCUGCAGGUUCCAUUCCCGACGGUCUUGCAGUUGAUUCAAUUUCACGGCUACUGUUUUACACUGAUGCAGGCAACCAUCUAAUAGCGUUAAUGGAAUUGGAUGGUUCCAACCAUGCCGCCGUAGUUAGUAAGGAUUGUGACCAGCCGAGAGCGAUUGUGCUCGAUCCUAUCCUUUUUAAAUAUAAAAAAGUAAAAUAUAUGUCUUAAUUUCUAAAACAUUAAAACUGUCUUAUUAAGGGUAAAUCGCAUUUAACCUGCGGAAUUUUACAUAUGCAGUAAUGGAACAGCAAAGGAGAGACACAUUUUUCGCCUUUGAAAAAUGGCGAACAUUGUACUACAUAUCACAAAUACCACAAGAAACGCAAUUCUGCAUCUUUUGCUUCGUUGGUAUCUACAGAAUACAUAUACCCACCUACAUAAUAGGGUUUACUUUCUCGAUAAAAUUAUAAACAUGAUGCAGCACUCCAACGGAGAAAACAUUAGUCUUAAUAGAACAAAAUAUUUAGCUUAUGUCUAAAGAACGCAUCACCCUUGUUCAAGAAACACUUAUGAAUUUGUGACUUAAGGGAAGGCUGUUGAUCUGUUAUUUUGUCUCGACGCUUUUGAAAAAUAAGAGAAUUCAAAGAAAUAACAACCUAGUCAUAGGUAAACUUGGAGAAAAGAAUUAUUGUUCGCACAACGACCAUGUUUACUUAUUAUACUUUUUCAUAUAGACAAAUUUUCUGGUCGGACUGGGGAAAAUUUCCAAAAAUAGAAACAGCGAACUAUGACGGAAGUGAACGAGAGACGCUAAUAAAAACUGGAAUCAUGUGGCCAAAUGCUUUGGCAAUAGAUUUUGCAGAUCAAUUAAUGUAUUGGGGAGACGCAGGGACACACUACAUCGAGAGUUCAAAAAUAGACGGUUCAUGAAGGAAAAUAUUAUAUUACGACGCCCGGGCGCACUAUUUCUCAAUGGUCCUGUAUUCAGAUAAAUUAUUUUAUACAGACUGGCAACAAAGAUCUGUAAUGGCAUUGCCCAUAUCCGGUGCAGAAAAUGGUACAGCUGUCGGCAAUGGAUCUUUUGCGAGGCUGAAUGACAUAAGUCGAUUGAAACAAAAACCUCUCUAUCCUAGUAAGUAAUAUACCUCAAUCACACAAAGCCUAGUAGAUGAUACAGUUCACCCAAACAUGUCCUAGCAAGUAAUACACAACAACAACAAAUAUCUUGCUAGUUAAAUACUUUAUCCACACACAUCCUAGUAAGUGAUAUAGUUAACCCAAAAGUGUCCUAAUAAGUAAUGUAUAACAGCCACAAAUAUUCUAUAAGGGGUAUAUUUCACACAUCUGUAUCCUAGUAUUAUACUAUAACCCAACAAAAAUAUUCUAGUGUAAGAAUAUUUCAAACAUUUGUAUUCUAGUAAGUACUAAACUACACCCACAAAUAUCCUAGUAAAUGGUAUAAUAAACCCAAAAGUAUCCUAGUAAAUGUUAAAGUACAAGCCAAAUGAUCUCAGAAUUGCAUGCAUUGCAAGACAAAAUUUCAUAAGAUGUUAUACAUGUAUCACCGAAACACCCUAGUAUUUAUAUCAUAGUAACUUACUAAAAUGUAGAUAACCUUUGUUUGUGAUAUAUCACAACCAAACAUAUUCUCAUACAAUGUUAUAUUACAAGCCAUAUGGGUAUGUUUUCCAGAUACCACAUGCAAAAAUAUCCAUGAAAUUUACACUAGUAAAAUGGCAGGAAAAAGGGAAAAUCAUGACAAAAACAUAACAAUCU